rnacentral:lncRNA from 1 species
CAUGAUUGCCACAUUCUUGUUCGUGUCCUACAACAAAGGAGACUGGUGUUACUGCCACUACUGUAACCCAGACUUGGAUGUCAGAAAUGACCCUUGCUGUUCCUUUUAGUGACCUUGCUCCGUCUCAGCUCAACCUUUGAACGUCCUCCAUCUCCCAGAUAUUUUCAUCCCCAAACAUACGUGCUCUG